rnacentral:rRNA from 1 species
UACGUAGGGGGCAAGCGUUGUCCGGAUUUAUUGGGCGUAAAGAGCGUGUAGGCGGCCUGAAAGGUCAGCUGUGAAAACUCGAGGCUCAACCUCGAGACGUCGGUUGAAACCAUCUGGCUAGAGUCCGGAAGAGGAGUGUGGAAUUCCCGGUGUAGCGGUGAAAUGCGCAGAUAUCGGGAGGAACACCAGUGGCGAAGGCGGUUGCCUGGAGCUUUGCUGACGCUGAGGCGCGAAAGCGUGGGGAGCGAUCCGG